CCGGGAUUGCCCUAGUAACGGCGAGUGAAGCGGCAACAGCUCAAAUUUGAAAUCUGGCGCAAGCCCGAGUUGUAAUUUGUAGAGGAUGCUUCUGGCCAGCGGCCGUUCUAAGUUCCUUGGAACAGGACGUCAUAGAGGGUGAGAAUCCCGUAUGUGACCGGCGCGCAGCCUUUACGUAGCUCCUUCGACGAGUCGAGUUGUUUGGGAAUGCAGCUCUAAAUGGGAGGUAAAUUUCUUCUAAAGCUAAAUACCGGCCAGAGACCGAUAGCGCACAAGUAGAGUGAUCGAAAGAUGAAAAGCACUUUGGAAAGAGAGUUAAAAAGCACGUGAAAUUGUUGAAAGGGAAGCGCUUGCAACCAGACUUCGUAGCGAUGUUCCGCCGGUCUUCUGACCGGUCUACUCAUCGUCGCGAGGCCAACAUCGUCUGGGGCCGCCGGAUAAGACCUAAGGAAUGUAGCUUCCCUCGGGAAGUGUUAUAGCCUUUGGUGAUGCGGCGCGUCUCGGGCGAGGUCCGCGCUUCGGCAAGGAUGUUGGCGUAAUGGUUGUCAGCGGCCCGUCUUGAAACACGGACCCA
rnacentral:rRNA from 2 species